UACGGAGGGGGCUAGCGUUGUUCGGAAUUACUGGGCGUAAAGCGCGCGUAGGCGGACCUGCAAGUCGGGGGUGAAAGCCUGUGGCUCAACCACAGAAUUGCCUUCGAUACUGUAGAGCUUGAGACCGGAAGAGGUAAGUGGAACUGCGAGUGUAGAGGUGAAAUUCGUAGAUAUUCGCAAGAACACCAGUGGCGAAAGCGACUUCCUGGACCAAUACUGACGCUCAUGUGCGAAAGCGUGGGGAGCAAACAGG
rnacentral:rRNA from 1 species